AGAGUUUGAUCCUGGCUCAGAUUGAACGCUGGCGGCAUGCCUUACACAUGCAAGUCGAACGGUAACAGCACUUCGGUGGCUGACGAGUGGCGAACGGGUGAGUAAUACAUCGGAACGUGCCCGAGAGUGGGGGAUAACGCAGCGAAAGCUGUGCUAAUACCGCAUACGAUCUACGGAUGAAAGCAGGGGACCGCAAGGCCUUGCGCUCAUGGAGCGGCCGAUGGCAGAUUAGGUAGUUGGUGGGAUAAAAGCUUACCAAGCCGACGAUCUGUAGCUGGUCUGAGAGGACGACCAGCCACACUGGGACUGAGACACGGCCCAGACUCCUACGGGAGGCAGCAGUGGGGAAUUUUGGACAAUGGGCGAAAGCCUGAUCCAGCCAUGCCGCGUGCAGGAUGAAGGCCUUCGGGUUGUAAAAUGCUUUUGUACGGAACGAAAAGGUCUUUU
rnacentral:rRNA from 1 species